CGAGGAACAGAUGGGUGGGAUAACGUCCUUGGUCGAGACACAAGUGAAGCCACAUAAUCAUUAAAAUAGGAACUAGCAGCAUGAUGAACCUCACUGGGUGACAAAACUUUAUUGACCCACAAUCUUUCAUUCCUGGCAUGCCAUAACUUCCAUGCAUGUAUAGCCAUACGUGCAGUCUAUAAGAUUAAAUAGUAAAAUAUUUAACGAUAAAAUUAAAGAAAAAAAUUAACUAAUACACUUUUUAAAACAUCAGUUAUGUUUUCAUAUAUUUUUUAAAAUAAAAGAAAUAAUUAAUAAAUUGUAUAGCAGUCAAAUUAAUUAGUUUUUAUUGAGUCUAGCGGAAGGUAAAAGCUGUGCAUAUUUCUAAUCAUAGCGCAUAAAUCUAGUAGAAGUUUAUAUCAUUACUAAGUGAAUACAUGUGCUAUGCACAAAUUAAUAUAUUAUUUAUUUAUUUAAUAUAAUAUUUUCACGAAUUUUCCAUUAUAUUCAUUUUUAAAUUUGUAUAUUAUAUUUUAAAUUUUAUAAUUUGUUAUAAUUAUAUUUAACUAUAGUUAAUUUUGACUAUCACAUUUGUCAUAACACAUAAAAUUAAAGUAUAUUUUUUUUAAAAUAAAAAAUUUAAUCUGAGCAAAAAUAGUAAAUACUCAUUAUCAAACUAUAACAUAUUUACAACCAAGUUUUUUGUUUUUGUUUUUUUCUUUUUCGAGAAGGAUAUACAACCAAGUUAACAUAAUAGAUAUUACCUAUACUCACUCGAAGGGAAGCGGCUGACCCAUUGCAGCAACGUGGGGUGGGGGGACUUGUCUUCAUGCUCCACUGCUUCGUAGGUAUGGCUAUUUUGACUGAUACUCUAUGAUAGUAACACAAGUGCUACAAAGACCUGCAACGUCGAAAUGGGCAGUCAUCAUCCCUGGUCUGGCACGAUGGAGGGAGGGAGGCGGUGGAAAUGAGAAGAGCAGCACUGGAAAUGAAAUUUCUAUUUGGAAUCGACAAUGAUGGCUUGUGAUUCUGUAACCUUAGAAUGAAAAUGAGUACUCUGAUUUCUUGCAGCAUUAAAUCUCUACUGUUGAAAGAAUACCUAGAUGUUCUUCCGUGAGAGGAAAUCUAUUCUAUUAACGGGUUGGGUGAGGAUUGACAGAGAGUACGUGCUAUAGGUUUGGGGUGUCGAUAAAGAUGGAGAGUGGUGGAGAAAUGGAUGAAGCUGUACAAGUGAAGAGGGCUCUGGUUUUGGGUAUCGUGGCGAUGAGGAGGAGCUGGAGGUGGCGAAGAGUUGGGUUUAAAAAGAAAGGAACUGAGACAGUGGUGGGAGCAAGGGUGUUGAAAGGGGAAUUGGCAGCGUCAUAGAAAAGGAAAUGAGAGAAGGUGCUGAUGGGAGACCGUGGGUAUGGUGAGUCUAGUGAUUGAAGGAGAUAGAAAUUGAGGGAGGAGCUGGUUGGUGAGCUUGAGAUGGAGCAAAGGUAUCAAGUGGAGGUGUGUUGAGGAAGGAUGGUGCAAAGGUUGACGGGAC
rnacentral:lncRNA from 1 species